AUUGAACGCUGGCGGCAUGCUUUACACAUGCAAGUCGAACGGCAGCACAGUGAGCUUGCUCCUUUGUGGCUAGUGGCUAACGGGUGAGUAAUGUAUCGUAACGUGCCUGCUAGUUCGGGGUAACUACUCGAAAGAGUGUCUAAUUCCUCAUGAAUUCUUUGUAUGAAAGCGGGCGACCUUCCGUCCUCGUUCUACUGGUUCUACCGAUGUCGGAUUAGUUAGUUGGUGGGGUAAAGGCCUACCAAGCCGGCGAUCUGUAGCUGGUCUGAGAGGAUGAUCAGCCACACUGGGACUGAGACACGGCCCAGACUCCUACGGGAGGCAGCAGUGGGGAAUAUUGGACAAUGGGCGCAAGCCUGAUCCAGCAAUACCGCGUGAAGGACGAAGGCCUUCGGGUUGUAAAGUGCUUUUGUAGAGAAAGAAAAGUAGCUGGCUAAUAUCUAGAGAUUAUGACGGUACUGUAAGAAUAAGCACCGGCUAACUACGUG
rnacentral:rRNA from 1 species